rnacentral:tRNA from 1 species
UCCCCGGUGGCUCAGAGGGUAAAGAAUCUGCCUGCAAUGCAGGAGAUCCAGGUUCAACUCCUGGGUUGGGAA